rnacentral:rRNA from 1 species
GACGAACGCUGGCGGCGUGCUUAACACAUGCAAGUCGAACGGAAAGGCCCUGCUUUGGUGGGGUGCUGGAGGGGGGAACGGGUGAGUAACAGGGGAGUAACCUGCCCUGGACUUUGGGAUAACUUAAGGAAACUGGGCCUAAUACCGGAUAGGAGCUCCUCUUGCAGGGGGGGGGUUGGAAAGUUUGGGCGGUUGGGGAUGGACUGGCGGCUUAUCAGCUUGUUGGUGGGGUAGUGGCUUACCAAGGCUUUGGCGGGUAGCCGGCCUGAGAGGGUGACCGGCCACAUUGGGACUGAGAUACGGCCCAGACUCCUACGGGAGGCAGCAGUGGGGAAUAUUGCACAAUGGGCGGAAGCCUGAUGCAGCAACGCCGCGUGCGGGAUGACGGCCUUCGGGUUGUAAACCGCUUUCGCCUGUGACGAAGCGUGAGUGACGGUAAUGGGUAAAGAAGCACCGGCUAACUACGUG